rnacentral:rRNA from 1 species
UGGGGAAUAUUGGACAAUGGGCGAAAGCCUGACGCAGCCAUGCCGCGUGAAUGAUGAAGGUCUUAGGAUUGUAAAAUUCUUUCACCGGGGACGAUAAUGACGGUACCCGGAGAAGAAGCCCCGGCUAACUUCGUGCCAGCAGCCGCGGUAAUACGAAGGGGGCUAGCGUUGCUCGGAAUUACUGGGCGUAAAGGGCGCGUAGGCGGUGUGUCAAGUCAGUUGUGAAAUCUCCGAGCUUAACUCGGAACGGUCAACUGAUACUGUCACACUAGAGUACAGAAGGGGCAAUCGGAAUUCUUGGUGUAGCGGUGAAAUGCGUAGAUAUCAAGAGGAACACCUGAGGCGAAGGCGGUUGCUGGGCUGAUACUGACGCUGAGGCGCGAAAGCUAGGGUAGCAAACGGGAUUAGAUACCCGGGUAGUCCCUGAGCGGGCUGGCAAGGCGCAU